UCUAUAAAGAUUAUAGUGAAAGUGAUGACAGUAAUACUGGCUCAAACUCAAUAAUGGUCAAACAAAUUUAUUCAAUAGGACCAACAAAAUAGUUUCAUUUUGAAUAUAAUAAAAGAUAAGAUUAUUCAACACUUUCAGUGAUUAAUGAAAAAAACUGCACUCAAU